rnacentral:lncRNA from 1 species
AUAUAUCUUCUUAUAUGUUUCUCAUUCUUAUUUAUUGGGCAUCUUUUGGACAUUUUGCUCAUUGAGAGAUGGCUGAAAUUAUAUCUAUCGUCAAAAGGCCAAGGCAGAUCUCUGUGUGGCAGUCUUUGAAGAUAUGGCUUCAGUUUGGCUAUUCCCUUUGGACUAUUUCACAAAUGGUGCUGGAGUCUUGCUCUGCUAUGUGUCAGAAGUUGGAGGAGAGGUUGGGGCAGUCCCUUAGCUGCCUGGGCCUGGGAUCUGGACCAGAGAGAACACUGUGGAUUGGGAUUGUGGAGGAGGCAGAUUCUUGGAGGAGACACCAUGAAAGCAGAGUCUAGGAGAGGGGGAAACAAGGGCUUCUGAUCCAGCCAUGCUGGUAGCAAUGGACCUGCCCUCUUGCCGUUCCCUCUGUUGGUGUAGCCAUCCCUCCGGAAGUGUCAGUUGACUGAAGGAUGGCAUUGACUCCAUAGAAGGUGAUGGUAUCUAUUGGAGGUGACUCACUAUCAUGAAAUCUACUGUCAAAAAGUCUUUAAAUGUAUCCCCUUGAACUUGAAUACAGAAUUAAGAGAUGUAAUGCAGAGCUCUGAUCAAUUUUCCAGGGCUAAUAACUUCUUAUAAAGAUCUAUCUAUGUAGGAAAAGCACAAGGAUACUGGGGAAAUACCUGGUUGAAAACUACAUUAGUUUAACCCUUGAGGGAAUGUUAAAACUACUUUUAUUGAAAGCUGUUUUUAUAGUUAAUAUCUCCCUUUUCAAGCACAGCAAGAAUAAUGACCACAUCAACAAUGUUCAUAUUCAGCCAGUGCAGGCUGCCUGGCUGCUCCACCCUGGGAAUUCUCCUGCCUUGAUUCUCUAAGAACUUCUUUUUUUUUUUUUUUAACUUUUAUUUAAUGAAUAUAAAUUUCCAAAGUACGUCUCAUGGGUUACAAUGGCUCCCCCCCCC